rnacentral:sRNA from 1 species
CUACACGUUGACUUUCUUUUCUGUUUGUGUGUACAUUUUCUUAUUUAUUCAACAGUUACAGUAUUGAUCUAUUUAUUUCUUGUUUUAUUCAUCAAAUAUUCUAAAUCUAGAUCUACUUCACCUUGUUUUUUAUAAAUCAUUAAAUGGCUAGACCAAAUAAAAGGCUAGUUCAAUUGAAACAAGCUCGAAUGAGUCGCAAAUUAGAUCUAGAUCUAUAUCUAGAAAUAGAUACCGGUAAAUCUAAGACUCUAGUCAAUCUAGAUCUAGAUAAAUCUAGUACUUCCACAACAAGUUCUAGAUCUAUAUGUAUAUCUUCAUCAACAUCUAGCCCAACUAGACUCUAGUCACUCUAGAUCUAGAUGAGAUUCAUCUUCUGGACAUAAUAUUAAUAAUACGUUCCUACACAUUUAAGUAUUUUAAGUUUCAUUUAACAAACUGUGUGAACAUAUACUUUUAGACAUAAAUGAUAAUCUACCUGGAAUGUGUAAAAAAAAACUUUCUAAAUAUUACUAAACUAGUUUACAAAAAAAGCUGAUAUUCGACAGGCUUUAGAACAUAAAACUGUUGACCUUAUUCAUCGGAAGCAUGCGGAGGAAAGUGGAGUUUCUAUUUAACAAAGAAGAUAUCAUUGAUAUUGAUGUCUCGUAUGAUGGUUCGUGGCUAACCAGAGGCCACACAUCAUUUCACAUAUUGGAAUUGGAUGUGUUAUUGAUGUCUUAACAUGAUAUGUUCUGGAUUUCCACAUUGUUUCAACAUUUUGUUAGGUCUGUCAAACCACUGGCAGAAAGAUUAAAGAAAUGCCCAAUCACAGUGGAUGCAGAAUGGUUUGAAACACACAAGUCUUUUUGUGAAAUCAACUACACAGGCUCAUCAGCAAUGAUGGAAACACUUGCUGAGGUCAGUUACAAAAUUUCGCUACACAUCUAUGUUAUCUGAUGGAGAUGCUAAAUCUUUUAAAAGAAUAACUGAGCUUAAACCUUAUGGUGACAUUCCCAUAGUAAAAGAAGAAUGUGUCAACCAUGUUGGUAAAAGAAUGGGGUCUGCACUUUGAAAUUUAGUUGGUGAUUGUAGCAAAAAAGGUACUUCUCUUGGAGGCAAAGGGCAUGGUCAACUAACACAAAACACUACAAAAAAGUUAACACUUUAUUAUUCUAGAGCCAUAAGAAAGCACAAAAAUGUUUCUGAUAUGCAGAAAGCUAUAAUGGUAUCUCUUUAUCAUUGCUUGUCAACUGACAAAUCACCAAAACAUCAAUUGUGUCCAACUGGAUCUGGUUCGUGGUGCUUCUACAAUGCUGCUGUUGCUAAAAAUAAGACUCCUGGUCCACAUAGCAAGCUUCUCUGCACUCCUCUAAAUUAUAAACUACAAGCUGACUACUUGAAACCAAUAUAUAAAUGCCUCUCCGAGCCAGCCCUCUUACAGCGUUGUUGGCUAGGUGCUACCCAAAAUGCCAACGAGUCAUAGCAUUCCAAGAUUUGGAGUACUUGGGAUAAAAAGAAAUUUUCUUCUUUGAACAAAGUCACAUUUUCAGUCAUAUCUUCUAUUUGUGACUUUCACUUUGGAUUUGCUGCUUCAAAGAUAAUGAAAAACAUUCUGUUCUGCAAAAACACGUUUCAUGCCCAUCGUCUUGGUUUGAGUCGACAGAACCAGCGAUUAAGUGGGUCUGUAUAUAAAAAAAGUAAGGUGGUCAUGAGACAACUCAAGAUAAGGAGAGAUGCAGAGGGGCCUACUUCUGAAGCAG